rnacentral:rRNA from 1 species
CAGUCGCCGCGGGAAUACGUAGGUGGCAAGCGUUGUCCGGAAUUAUUGGGCGUAAAGGGCUCGCAGGCGGUUUCUUAAGUCUGAUGUGAAAGCCCCCGGCUCAACCGGGGAGGGUCAUUGGAAACUGGGAAACUUGAGUGCAGAAGAGGAGAGUGGAAUUCCACGUGUAGCGGUGAAAUGCGUAGAGAUGUGGAGGAACACCAGUGGCGAAGGCGACUCUCUGGUCUGUAACUGACGCUGAGGAGCGAAAGCGCGGGGAGCGAACAGGAUUAGAGACCCCUGUAGUCCCUGUCUCUUAUAC